UACAGAGGGUGCGAGCGUUAAUCGGAAUUACUGGGCGUAAAGCGUGCGUAGACGGUCAAGUAAGUCGGGUGUGAAAGCCCCGGGCUCAACCUGGGAAUUGCAUUCGAGACUGCGUGGCUAGGGUGCGGAAGAGGGAAGCGGAAUUUCCGGUGUAGCGGUGAAAUGCGUAGAUAUCGGAAGGAACACCAGUGGCGAAAGCGGCAUCCUGGACCAAUUCUGACGCUGAGGAGCGAAAGCCAGGGGAGCAAACGGG
rnacentral:rRNA from 1 species